rnacentral:rRNA from 1 species
GACGAACGCUGGCGGCGUGCUUAACACAUGCAAGUCGAACGGAAAGGCCCUGCUUUUGUGGGGUGCUCGAGUGGCGAACGGGUGAGUAACACGUGAGUAACCUGCCCUUGACUUUGGGAUAACUUCAGGAAACUGGGGCUAAUACCGGAUAGGAGCUCCUGCUGCAUGGUGGGGGUUGGAAAGUUUCGGCGGUUGGGGAUGGACUCGCGGCUUAUCAGCUUGUUGGUGGGGUAGUGGCUUACCAAGGCUUUGACGGGUAGCCGGCCUGAGAGGGUGACCGGCCACAUUGGGCCUGAGAUACGGCCCAGACUCCUACGGGAGGCAGCAGUGGGGAAUAUUGCACAAUGGGCGGAAGCCUUAUGCAGCAACGCCGCGUGCGGGAUGACGGCCUUCGGGUUGUAACCCGCUUUCGCCUGUGACGAAGCGUUAGUGACGGUAAUGGGUAAAGAAGCACCGGCUAACUACGUG